rnacentral:rRNA from 1 species
UGGGGAAUAUUGCACAAUGGGGGAAACCCUGAUGCAGCGACGCCGCGUGAAGGAAGAAGUAUCUCGGUAUGUAAACUUCUAUCAGCAGGGAAGAUAAUGACGGUACCUGACUAAGAAGCCCGGCUAACUACGUCGCC